rnacentral:lncRNA from 1 species
AUGUGCUGCCGGCCCGGGCUCCAUGAGCGUGGCGGGCACUUUGCAGUCUCGGGUGUUCCUGCCCGGUCUUCUGUUCCUAAACUGCAGCAAAGGGAAAAGGAACUGAAAAAGGCAGGCUCGUCGUUGCAAUAUCACCAAAAGAGAAAAUUAACGGCAUGCCAUCAGGACCACAGCAGUUGGAGAAACAACUCUUUAUCCCGGCUUGCAGCCACGAGGUCUUGAUUGGGGGAGGGGUGGUGAAGAAUAGUCUGUGGGCUGCUUUUUUUUUUUCCUUUUACUGGAGCUGUACAGUGGAGUCGGUGAUUGCUGCUGAUCAUAAUCAAGUAUUUUAGGAGCUUAUUUAGACAUGUAUCUGAUAGCUAAGGAUUUUUCAACUUUAUUCUCUUACGUAUUUUUCAACUGUAAAUUAUUGGGCUUUUAAAUCCUGCUAGUAUUGCUCGACUCUUACUCUCACAAAUGGAUGGAAUUAAUUGCUGUUAGGAGGUUGGAAAAUAGCAAAUAUAGAUUUGGACGGUGGUAGUAAUUUUGAGCAAAUAAUGUUUUAUCUUUUUUUUCCUUAUUUUUCCCUAUUCCAGUCAUACACGUGGACCUAACUGCACCAGUAGCUUUUCUGAGAAUACUUGCUGAAAAGGAAGUUUUCUGGAAUGGGUAAGUGUAUUCUGAUUUUCUUGAACUUUUCUUAAAAACAAAUUUUUCUUGCUAUUAAAGUUGAAUAAAUAGGAUUGGUUUCUUAGAGAGUAAAAGUAGGUGUUUCUUUCUUUAGACAAUGUACCUUUUCUGAAAAACUAACUCAUUAAGUACGGAUUUGCUAAUUUUAAGGUAGUAAAAUUACAGUGUAAAUAUUCCUGUACAUUUUUGGAAACUGGCUUAUGCAGUUUACGAAAUAUAAUUUUAGACCCUCUUUUAAGUUGGGUGAUAAAGUAGAUAUAACCUGAGAUGAUAGAUUUAAACAGGAUAUUUACGUUCUGCUACAAUUGACUGAUAACACUUGAAGUGUAGUCUGAACAGUAAUUUUGUUAAUCAUUUCAACAAGUAUUUGCUAAGUGGAAGCCAGAAGAGGAGGAAAAUGUUUUGCCACGUGGAUGUGAAGAUUUCCUCUAAAAGCAGGAAAAAAGAGAACAUCACCUUGUAAAACUGAAGAUUGUGACCAGUCAGAAUAAUGUCAAAG